CAACCAGAGUAGCAUCUCACCCUGAGGUCACUGAUGUCACACCCAAUCCCCUCUAUCAAACCAACCAGAGUAGCAUCUCACCCUGAGGUCACUGAUGUCACACCCAAUCCCCUCUAUCAAACCAACCAGAGUAGCAUCUCACCCUGAGGUCACUGAUGUCCCACCCAAUCCCCUCUAUCAAACCAACCAGAGUAGCAUCUCACCCUGAGGUCACUGAUGUCACACCCAAUCCCCUCUAUCAAACCAACCAGAGUAGCAUCUCACCCUGAGGUCACUGAUGUCACACCCAAUCCCCUCUAUCAAACCAACCAGAGUAGCAUCUCACCCUGAGGUCACUGAUGUCACACCAAAUCCCCUCUAUCAAACCAACCAGAGUAGCAUCUCACCCUGAGGUCACUGAUGUCACACCCAAUCCCCUCUAUCAAACCAACCGGAGUAGCAUCUCACCCUGAGGUCACUGAUGUCACACCCAAUCCCCUCUAUCAAACCAACCAGAGUAGCAUCUCACCCUGAGGUCACUGAUGUCCCACCCAAUCCCCUCUAUCAAACCAACCAGAGUAGCGUCUCACCCUGAGGUCACUGAUGUCACACCAAAUCCCCUCUAUCAAACCAACCAGAGUAGCAUCUCACCCUGAGGUCACUGAUGUCACACCCAAUCCCCUCUAUCAAACCAACCGGAGUAGCAUCUCACCCUGAGGUCACACCCAAUCCCCUCUAUCAAACCAACCAGAGUAGCAUCUCACCCUGAGGUCACUGAUGUCCCACCCAAUCCCCUCUAUCAAACCAACCAGAGUAGCAUCUCACCCUGAGGUCACUGAUGUCCCACCCAAUCCCCUCUAUCAAACCAACCAGAGUAGCAUCUCACCCUGAGGUCACUGAUGUCCCACCCAAUCCCCUCUAUCAAACCAACCAGAGUAGCAUCUCACCCUGAGGUCACUGAUGUCACACCAAAUCCCCUCUAUCAAACCAACCAGAGAAGCAUCUCACCCUGAGGUCACUGAUGUCACACCCAAUCCCCUCUAUCAAUCCAACCAGAGUAGCAUCUCACCCUGAGGUCACUGAUGUCACACUGAAUCCCCUCUAUCAAACCAACCAGAGUAGCAUCUCACCCUGAGGUCACACCCAAUUCCCUCUAUCAAACCAACCAGAGUAGCAUCUCACCCUGAGGUCACUGAUGUCACACCAAAUCCCCUCUAUCAAACCAACCAGAGUAGCAUCUCACCCUGAGGUCACUGAUGUCACACCCAAUCCCCUCUAUCAAUCCAACCAGAAUAGCAUCUCACCCUGAGGUCACUGAUGUCACACCCAAUCCCCUCUAUCAAUCCAACCAGAGUAGCAUCUCACCCUGAGGUCACUGAUGUCCCACCCAAUCCCCUCUAUCAAACCAACCAGAGUAGCAUCUCACCCUGAGGUCACUGAUGUCCCACCCAAUCCCCUCUAUCAAACCAACCAGAGUAGCAUCUCACCCUGAGGUCACUGAUGUCACACCAAAUCCCCUCUAUCAAACCAACCAGAGUAACAUCUCACCCUGAGGUCACUGAUGUCACACCCAAUCCCCUCUAUCAAUCCAACCAGAGUAGCAUCUCACCCUGAGGUCACUGAUGUCACACCCAAUCCCCUCUAUCAAACCAACCAGAGUAGCAUCUCACCCUGAGGUCACUGAUGUCCCACCCAAUCCCCUCUAUCAAACCAACCAGAGUAGCAUCUCACCCUGAGGUCACUGAUGUCCCACCCAAUCCCCUCUAUCAAUCCAACCAGAGUAGCAUCUCACCCUGAGGUCACUGAUGUCACACUGAAUCCCCUCUAUCAAACCAACCAGAGUAGCAUCUCACCCUGAGGUCACACCCAAUCCCCUCUAUCAAACCAACCAGAGUAGCAUCUCACCCUGAGGUCACUGAUGUCUCACCCAAUCCCCUCUAUCAAACCAACCAGAGUAGCAUCUCACCCUGAGGUCACUGAUGUCCCACCCAAUCCCCUCUAUCAAACCAACCAGAGUAGCAUCUCACCCUGAGGUCACUGAUGUCCCACCCAAUCCCCUCUAUCAAACCAACCAGAGUAGCAUCUCACCCUGAGGUCACUGAUGUCACACCAAAUCCCCUCUAUCAAACCAACCAGAGUAGCAUCUCACCCUGAGGUCACUGAUGUCACACCCAAUCCCCUCUAUCAAACCAACCGGAGUAGCAUCUCACCCUGAGGUCACUGAUGUCACACCCAAUCCCCUCUAUCAAACCAACCAGAGUAGCAUCUCACCCUGAGGUCACUGAUGUCCCACCCAAUCCCCUCUAUCAAACCAACCAGAGUAGCAUCUCACCCUGAGGUCACUGAUGUCACACCAAAUCCCCUCUAUCAAACCAACCAGAGUAGCAUCUCACCCUGAGGUCACUGAUGUCACACCCAAUCCCCUCUAUCAAACCAACCGGAGUAGCAUCUCACCCUGAGGUCACUGAUGUCACACCCAA